CCCCUCUUAAGGUCGCACCUGGAGAGUUUCCAGUACUUUACCAGACUCGACUAGGGGAAGGAGAGUCAAGCAGCGGCAUACCCAUUCCAUUCCUAGGUUGGGCAGUGGCUAGUGAAUGGAAGGCAAUCUGCUACAAAU